CGGCCUUCGAAAAGAGCAGAGUGCGCCAGGCAGCCUCAGGGGUCCAGAUGGAGACACCAUGCCCAGUCUCUCGGGACACACCUGGGGGCGGGGGGAGCAUCCACCGUUUUGAGCCUUUGUGUCCUUGGAGAACUGGUCUGAUUGGUCUGACGUGGGCCACGUGCCCCAUGCCCUCGACCAACCUUGAGCAGGACUCCAUGUUUGACAGACCCUCAUAGGUAUUCAUUCAUUCAUUCCUCACCAGCUGUGAGCAGACACCACUACUCUCCCCCAUUUCACAGUUGGGGAGACUGAGGCAUGGGGAGGUUAAGCAACUUGCUUGACAGCCAGUGAGUGGCCGUCAGGAAAUGAGACAGCCAGGCUGGCCCCAGGCCCUCCCCUAAGCCACACUGCCCCUCGGAUUAUAUAAUAAGUAAAUGUGUGUUGACCAAGUGAGCGAAUGUCUUAGUAAAUGCACUCAGAUGAGCUGGCUUCUCCCGACAGCCAGCCUGCUCUCUGCUGCGGCCUGCCUCCCUCCCGGGCCAGGUGUGGGCGAGUGUUUGGCUCUUCCUGAUGGACAGGUGAUAUUUCCUGGGGCAAAGAUGGGGCAGCACACCUGUCAUUGCUGAGGGUUUCUUCCACCACACCAGGGAGGCAGGAAGGAAAGCGAGGCUGAUGAAUGAGAACACGGGGCUGGACGAGGACCAGAGUCUGGACACCAGCCCCAGCCCCGGAGCAGCAGCCCCUGCUGACCCUGCUCCAGGUGGAGGCGAUGGGAAGAGAGGAAGCACCCGGGCCACAAGUCUUACGCUGGGCGCGGGAUAAAGCCGAGGUCCUCAUCCACAGGGCCGUGGCUGGUCAGGGAAAUGGACGUGUCCAUCAAAACCUAUAAAACGAUGAAGCAGGACAAAGAAGUGGUGCUGGCUCCAGGAGCUGCAGGUGGAUGUGGCCGUCUGGGAUGUCACUAACCCUGACCGCUCCAUGUGUGCCAGUGUCCACGCUCAUCCACACAUCGUGCCACUCCAGCCUCACAGCAACCAGAGAGCAGGAGUCGUUUCUGUUCCACAGAUGAGCAAGCAGAGGCCCAGGUGGGACAAGGACUUUGCCCCAAGACCACAGGGGUUGGACUCAGCUCUACCAUUCCCUGGGAGACCCCUCCGCACCCUGCCUGGGCAGACUUCCUCUGGGACUGAUUCUAAAACUGGCCCUGGGCCCUGUCCAUCCAGGGAGCUGGCAGCCUCCUCUUCCCACACAGCUUUUCCAGCCUCUUGGUUACAAUCCCGUUAUUUGCCACCACAUGUCCCUCUUCUUUUCCUUUCGAAGAUGACUCAUAAGAUGAAACGAG
rnacentral:lncRNA from 1 species